AGAGAGAAAUGGAAUGCAGCUGAGAGAAUCUAAACUCUUCCUCAACCCUUGGAGGAGGUCUCUUCCCAGGGCAGGAUUCAAGUGCAUCUGCUUUGCUGCAAGAUGGAGCCUGGCUCUGUCACCCAGGCUGGAGUGCGGUGGUGUAAUCUCAGCUCACUGCAACCUCCACCUCUCGGGUUCAAGCAAUUCUCCCGCCUCAGCCUCCCGAGUAGCUGGGAUUACAGGGGCCCGCCAUCGUGCCCAGCUAAUAUUUGUAAUUUUGUAGAGAUGGGGUUUCACCGUGUUGGCCAGGCUGGUUUUGAACUCCUGAUCUCAGUUGUACAAUUUUGCAAUAAUCUUCCAUGGAGUUCAUGACCAGAGGAUGACUAGACCUUGAGAAGUAUUUGAAGAAGGGGUCAAGGUGGGAGCCAAGGCAACCAUCUGAAACAGCUGGCCUGCCUGGGCAUGUCUGAGCCAGAUGUCUACUUCUGGUCCAGAGUUAGAAUUAUGUAUAAAAUCAGGUACUGGGAACAAUUUAUCUAUGUUAAAAAGAUGUGUGUGUGUGAAUGGAUGUAUAUACGUGUGCUAUAAGA
rnacentral:lncRNA from 10 species